rnacentral:rRNA from 1 species
CUAAUACCGGAUAGCUUGUUAGAAGACAUCUUCUUUCAACUAAAGGAGCGUUCGCUCCGCUUUGAGAUGAGUUUAUGGCGCAUUAGUUAGUUGGCGGGGUAAUGGCCCACCAAGACGAUGAUGCGUACCCGAUCUGAGAGGAUGAUCAGCCACAUUGGAACUGAGACACGGUCCAGACUCCUACGGGAGGCAGCAGUGAGGAAUAUUGCGCAAUGGGCGAAAGCCUGACGCAGCAACGCCGCGUGGAUGAUGAAGUUCUUCGGAAUGUAAAGUCCUUUUGUGGAGGAAGAAUAUCCCGAUUUAUCG